CUAGUCAAAUUUGACAAUUAUUUUGAUUAUAUAUCAUUGUGAUUUGUUUUGUCCAGUUCUACUCAGCUUUUGCAAGACUUUAAACCAAUGGAAACCCAUUGAAAAGUGUUUUUUACAGGUGGAGACAUUUUCAAACUGCCCCGAAAAAGCGAAUUUCAAACAGUUUGUUGCCCGUUCGGUGAUUAACAGCACCCAAAUUGACUGGUUUGUUACCAAAUAUCCCCGUGCAAGUUCGCUUAAACUUUCUGUAGAACUAGUUCUACAAGUGAAAUGUUACCUGUGAGGAAAUGGGCUUAUGAUGGCUGGGAGCCACUAUGGGACUGUCCAACUGAGGUACAGGUGGUGUGGAAAACUCAAACAAACCCAUCCCUGGACUAAAAUUGAUAUCCUU